rnacentral:rRNA from 1 species
CCCUUAGAUGUUCUGGGCCGCACGCGCGCUACACUGAUGCAUUCAACGAGCCUAUCCUUGACCGACAGGUCCGGGUAAUCUUUGAAUCUGCAUCGUGACGGGGAUAGAUUAUUGCAAUUAUUAAUCUUCAACGAGGAAUGCCUAGUAGGCGCAAGUCAUCAGCUUGCGUCGAUUACGUCCCUGCCCUUUGUACACACCGCCCGUCGCUCCUACCGAUUGGGUGUGCUGGUGAAAUGUUCGGAUCGGCCGUUUGUCGCGGUUUCCGCGGCUCGUGGCUGAGAAGUUCAUUAAACCCUCCCACCUAGAGGAAGGAAAAGUCGUAACA